GACGAACGCUGGCGGCGUGCUUAACACAUGCAAGUCGAACGGAAAGGCCCUGCUUUUGUGGGGUGCUCGAGUGGCGAACGGGUGAGUAACACGUGAGUAACCUGCCCUUGACUUUGGGAUAACUUCAGGAAACUGGGGCUAAUACCGAAUAGGAGCUCCUGCUGCAUGGUGGGGGUUGGAAAGUUUCGGCGGUUGGGGAUGGAAUCGCGGCUUAUCAGCUUGUUGGUGGGGUAGUGGCUUACCAAGGCUUUGACGGGUAGCCGGCCUGAGAGGGUGACCGGCCACAUUGGGACUGAGAUACUGCCCGGACUCCUACGGGAGGCAGCAGUGGGGAAUAUUGCACAAUGGGCGGAAGCCUGAUGCAGCAACGCCGCGUGCGGGAUGACGGCCUUCGGGUUGUAAACCGCUUUCGCCUGUGACGAAGCGUGAGUGACGGUAAUGGGUAAAGAAGCACCGGCUAACUACGUGCCAGCCGCCGCCGUAACAC
rnacentral:rRNA from 1 species